rnacentral:rRNA from 1 species
GACGAACGCUGGCGGCGUGCUUAACACAUGCAAGUCGAGCGAUGAAGUUUCCUUCGGGAAACGGAUUAGCGGCGGACGGGUGAGUAACACGUGGGUAACCUGCCUCAUAGAGGGGAAUAGCCUUUCGAAAGGAAGAUUAAUACCGCAUAAGAUUGUAAUGCCGCAUGGCAUAGCAAUUAAAGGAGCAAUCCGCUAUGAGAUGGACCCGCGUCGCAUUAGCUAGUUGGUGAGGUAACGGCUCACCAAGGCGACGAUGCGUAGCCGACCUGAGAGGGUGAUCGGCCACAUUGGGACUGAGACACGGCCCAGACUCCUACGGGAGGCAGCAGUGGGGAAUAUUGCACAAUGGGGGAAACCCUGAUGCAGCAACGCCGCGUGAGUGAUGACGGUCUUCGGAUUGUAAAAGCUCUGUCUUUAGGGACGAUAAUGACGGUACCUAAGGAGGAAGCCAGGCUAACUACGUG